GACGAACCGUACGAGCGUUAUUCGGAAUUACUGGGCUUAAAGGGUGCGUAGGCGGCGCAGUAAGUUGGGUGUGAAAUCCCUCGGCUUAACCGAGGAAUUGCGCCCAAAACUACUGUGCUCGAGGGAGAUAGAGGUGAGCGGAACUUAGGGUGGAGCGGUGAAAUGCGUUGAUAUCCUAAGGAACACCGGUGGCGAAAGCGGCUCACUGGAUCUCUUCUGACGCUGAGGCACGAAAGCUAGGGUAGCAAACGGG
rnacentral:rRNA from 1 species